ACUGUUCGCGCACUCGCAAGACUACCGUAGCCAAACUUUCGGCUUUUCAGCAUUUUUGCUUUUCGGCAUUUCGACAUUUCGGCUUUUGCCGAUUCAUAGUGUGUGUACAGUGUAUGUACACACCUGGUAAGCAAGCGUGUCACGAUUCCCUUAGUCACCAACCUACAAUGAUAUCACCCUUCCAUUAAUUAUAUGUUUAAUCCAUAUUCUACCCAAAAACCAAAACCUCACCUUAACCUUAC
rnacentral:lncRNA from 1 species